AUUGAACGCUGGCGGAAUGCUUUACACAUGCAAGUCGAACGGCAGCACGGACUUCGGUCUGGUGGCGAGUGGCGAACGGGUGAGUAAUGUAUCGGAACGUGCCCAGUCGUGGGGGAUAACGUAGUGAAAGUUACGCUAAUACCGCAUACGAUCUAUGGAUGAAAGCGGGGGAUCGCAAGACCUCGCGCGAUUGGAGCGGCCGAUAUCAGAUUAGGUAGUUGGUGGGGUAAAGGCCCACCAAGCCAACGAUCUGUAGCUGGUCUGAGAGGACGACCAGCCACACUGGAACUGAGACACGGUCCAGACUCCUACGGGAGGCAGCAGUGGGGAAUUUUGGACAAUGGGCGAAAGCCUGAUCCAGCCAUUCCGCGUGCAGGAUGAAGGCCCUCGGGUUGUAAACUGCUUUUGUACAGAACGAAAGGGUCCGGGCUAAUACCCUGGGCUAAUGACGGUACCGUAAGAAUAAGCACCGGCUAACUACGUGCCAGCCGCCGCAGUAA
rnacentral:rRNA from 1 species